rnacentral:rRNA from 1 species
AUUCUGGCUCCGAGUGAACGCUGGUAACAUAUUUUAACACAUGCAAAUCAAACUAGAGUUAUUUUAUUAAUUCGAGUGGUGACCUGGUGAGUAAUAUAAGAGAAUCGACGUACAAAUAAGGUUAAAUACCUAUACUUACGUUUUUAAAUAUUCGUAGGGAGAUUUAUAUCGUUUGUAAUAGAGCUUUUACAGGAUUAGGUAGUUGUUGUAGUAAUUAUUCAACAAGCCGACGAUGCUUAGCUGGUUUGAGAGAAUGAUCAGCCACAUUGGGACUGAAAACGGCCCAAGUCUUUCCAAAGGGCAGCAGUGGAGAAUAUUUGACAAUGGGCGAAAGCUUGAUCGAGUAAUGUUACGUGGGUGAUAAGAAGGCUUAAUUGCCGUAAAGCUCGUUUCGUCAAGGAUUAUAAUGCAAUCGUACUUGAAGGAGAAGCCCUGACUAACUUCGUGCCAGCAGUCGCGGUAAUACGGAGAGGGCUAGUGUUAUUCGCAUUGACUGGGUGUAAAGGGUGCGUAGGUGGUUUGUUAAGUUUCAAAGUAAAAGUUAAGCAUAGAGCUUAAACACUUUUUAAUACUAACUGACUAGAGUUUAUUAGAAGAUGGCUGAACAUUAAGUGUAAAGGUGAAAUUUUUCGAUAUUUAAAGGGCAUGCACUAGGCGAAGGCUGCUAUCUAUUUUAAUACUGACACUGAGGCACAAAAGCAUAGGGAUCAAACAGGAUUAGAGACCCUGGUAGUCUAUGCCCUGACCGAUGAAUAUUGAUUAUGUUGAAAAACAUGAUUAAGCUAACGCGUAAAUAUUCCACCUGAGUACUACGACCGCAAGGUUAAAACUCAAAGAAACUGACGGAAGAUUGUAUAAGCGGUGGAGUAUGUGGUUUAAUUUGAUAUAACGCAAAGAAUCUUACCAACCCUUGAAUACAAAUUGUGUUUAUUUUAUAAUCCGGAUUUUCCGGGUUAUAUAAAUAACAUUCGUAUAAUAGUACUCUUUUAGUUACUAUUAUAUUGAUUUGUACAGGUGCUGCAUGGUUGUCGGCAGUUCGUGUUGUGAAAUGUUUUGUUCAUUCAUUUAACGGACGUAACCUUCAGUUAUAUUUGAUGCACUUAUUAAGUGUAUAAUAUAGCAACAUUAAUUUGAAAAUUAAUUGAAAGGAGAAGAAGUCAAAUCAUUAUGGCCUAUAUAGGUUGGGCUACACACGUACUACAAUGGUAACUACAAUGUGAAGCAAUAGUGCAAGCUGUAGCGAAUCAUUAAAAAUUAACCCUAGUUCAGAUUACUCUCUGCAAGUCGAGAGUAUGAAGUAGGAAUCGCUAGUAAUCGCAGAAAAGAAUGCUGCGGUGAAUACAUUCUCAAUCUUUGUACACACCGCCCGUCACGCCAUGGGAAUUGGUUUGGUUAGAAGUUGCAUAGGUUUAGUAAAUUAUUGCUGUCGAAUUAAUUUUUCCGGUAAUAUUUCUUUGCACUAGUUACGACAACUAUAUUA